rnacentral:rRNA from 1 species
UGGGGAAUAUUGCGCAAUGGACGAAAGUCUGACGCAGCGACGCCGCGUGGGGGAUGAAGGUCUUCGGAUUGUAAACCCCUUUCGGGAGGGAAGAUGGAGUGGGUAACCACUUGGACGGUACCUCCAGAAGCAGCCACGGCUAACUUCGUGCCAGCAGCCGCGGUAAUACGAAGGUGGCAAGCGUUGUUCGGAUUCACUGGGCGUACAGGGAGCGUAGGCGGUUGGGUAAGCCCUCCGUGAAAUCUCCGGGCCUAACCCGGAAAGUGCAGAGGGGACUGCUCAGCUAGAGGAUGGGAGAGGAGCGCGGAAUUCCCGGUGUAGCGGUGAAAUGCGUAGAGAUCGGGAGGAAGGCCGGUGGCGAAGGCGGCGCUCUGGAACAUUUCUGACGCUGAGGAGCGAAAGCUAGGGGAGCAAACAGGAUUAGAUACCCCUGUAGUCCCUGAGCGGGCUGGCAAGGCGCAU